GGACUGUGGUUCAGUGGUAGAGUGCUCGACUUGCAUGUGUGAGGCACUGGGUUCGAUCCUCAGCACCA
rnacentral:tRNA from 1 species